UCUGAGGCAAACAGUACCACGCCCCCUCAAACGCUUCUUUUCAUUUGUCCUCCGUUUCUUAAAGGAAUAGUUCAUCCGACUGUCAUACCCUCGAAAAACAAGAGACUUUUCUUUUCUUUCAUGAAAAGCAAAAGAGAAAUUCUGUAGAAUUGUGCUCCCUGCAAUUAAAGACACACACAAGAAAAAAUGAAAAACCCAGUCAUUAUCCCCUCCUGCAUGAAAGAGGCCCUGUGCUUUCUACCAGAAACAACAGAUAUUGCAGAAAAAGUUUCAGCAUUCUUGAGCAGUAGCGCAAGAGCGAACACACCUUAUUUCUUGCUCAGAGCUGAAAGAAAGCUGCAAGUGACUCACAAAGGUCAUGGAUGACGUUGAGAGAUGUGACGGCCUCACGGAUGUCACUGUUCACGGCUGCAGGAGCAAUUAGCCUUUAGGUUAACGCACCCGUGUGAUGGUUUGAGCUUUAGAGAUAUCUCAGAUGUUCAGGUGACCUUCUGUCAGCACAGCAGAUAAGAAGAACCCUCAGAAAGACUGUGGAAAAACUAGUCUAAAGCACUAUUUCUUUCUGAGAGGAAAUGAGAUGCUGCCAUUUUCUUUCUUUGGCAUUGAUUGUUUGACAGUUGCAACAUGCUUUAAUUCCAGCAUAAUGAGCACCACAUUCUCAAGACGGCCUGUCAAUUAAACAAUUCGGUGUCAAAAUAAUCAGCUUAAUUCUUAAAACAGCAACAUUUUAGUGCAUUUCAGCUCAUCCUGCAGUGAUCCUCCUACAAUGUCUUAGUAACGACCCUAGCAACUGCAUAGCAACAUGCUAAAAACUUUUAGCAGACCAUAGCAACUGCAUAGCAAUGUGGCAGCAACUUAUAUACAAUGUAAAUAUGUAAAUAAAAACAUAAAAUAAAGAUUUAAUUUUAGUUUUAAAAGUUUUAAAUUCACCAUGAAAUUUUUUAUUAAUGUGUCCUCAUAAUCUUUAAUCAAAAUAACUUCCGCUCCCUCUUGCAGCGACUUCUCUUCUUUUCUUUUCUCUUCUCUUCUCUUCUCUUCUCUUCUCUUCUCUUCUCUGAUGACGUGUUUACUGGCACGAGGGCAGGAAAACCUGUCAAUCACAUGACAUCACAGCAAUAGCAAACCACAACCAUCCAAUCAAUUCCUAAUGGACAAAAUCAAGUCCCACCCUGCAGUUUUAUCUCAUUCGAGAAGCUGUUUCACUCAGAUAUUUGUCACAAAAGGGAAGAAAAUGCUAUCUGAAAGGUGAAAGAUCUGGACUGCAGGCAGGCCAAUUCGGCACCCGGACUCUUCUACGAUGAAGCCAUGCUGUUGUAAUAGCUGCAGUAUGUGGUUUUGCAUUGUCCUGCUGAAAUGCACAAGGCCUUCCCUGAAAUAGACGUCGUCUAGAGGGGAGCAUAUGUUGCUCUAAAAGCUUUAUAUACCUUUCAGCAUUCAUAAUGCCUUCCAAAACAUGCAAGCUGCCCAUAUGCACUUAUGCACCCCCAUACCAUCAGAGAUGCUGGCUUUUGAACUGAAUGCUGAUAACUUGCUGGAAGGUCUCCCUCCUCUUUAGCCCGGAGGACACGGCGUCUGUGAUUUCCAACAAGAAUGUCAAAUUUGGACUCGUCUGACCAUAGAACACUUUUCCACUUUGAAACAAUCCAUUUUAAAUGAGCCUUGGCCCACAGGACACAACGGCGCUUCUGGCCCAUGUUCACAUAUGGCUUCCUUUUUGCAUGAUAGAGCUUUAGUUGGGAUCUGCAGAUGGCACGGUGGAUUGUGUUUACCAACAGUGGUUUCUGGAAGUAUUCCUGGGCCCAUUUAGUAAUGUCAUUGACACAAUCAUGCCGAUGAGUGAUGCAGUGUCGUCUGAGGGCCUGAAGACCACGGGCAUCCAAUAAAGGUCUUCAGCCUUGUGCCUUACGCACAGAGAUUUCUCCAGUUUCUCUGAAUCUUUUGAUGAUGUCAUGCACUGUAGAUGAUGAGAUUUGCAAUUUGAUGUUGAGGAACAUUGUUUUUAAAGUAUUCCACAAUCUUUUUACGCACUCUUUCACAGAUUGGAAAGCCUCUGCCCAUCUUUACUUCUGAGAGACUCUGCCUCUCUAAGACAUCCCUUUUAUAGCUAAUCAUGUUACAGACCUGAUAUCAAUUAACUUAAUUAGUUGCUAGAUGUUCUCCCAGCUGAAUCUUUUCAAAAUUUCUUGCUUUUUCAGCCAUUUGUUGCCCCUGUGCCAACUAUUUUGAGACCUGUAGCAGGCAUCAAAUUUGAAAUGAGCUCAUUUAGUGGAUAAAAGUGUAAAAUUUCUCAGUUUAAACAUUUGUUAUGUUAUCUAUGUUCUAUUGUGAAUAAAAUAUUGGCUCAUGUGAUUUGAAAGUCUUUUAGUUUUAAUUUUUUUUCAAAUUUAAAAAACAUCCCAACAUUUCCGGAAUUCGGGUUGUAAAAUAUAUUAAUAAAAUUGUGUAAAUAGAAAAGGUCAAGCCAAAAUUACUUUGGCGCGUAAGCUCAAAUAAAGUUUAAUG